GUGAGGAAUAUUGGACAAUGGGCGCAAGCCUGAUCCAGCCAUGCCGCGUGCAGGAAGACGCAUCUAUGGUGUGUAAACUGCUUUUGUACGGGAAGAAACACUCCCUCGUGAGGGAGCUUGACGGUACCGUAAGAAUAAGGAUCGGCUAACUCCGUGCCAGCAGCCGCGGUAAUACGGAGGAUCCAAGCGUUAUCCGGAAUCAUUGGGUUUAAAGGGUCCGUAGGCGGUUUAAUAAGUCAGUGGUGAAAGCCCAUCGCUCAACGAUGGAACGGCCAUUGAUACUGUUAGACUUGAAUUACAAGGAAGUAACUAGAAUAUGUAGUGUAGCGGUGAAAUGCUUAGAUAUUACAUGGAAUACCAAGUGCGAAGGCAGGUUACUACUUGUGGAUUGACGCUGAUGGACGAAAGCGUGGGGAGCGAACAGGAUUAGAAACCCCGGUAGUCC
rnacentral:rRNA from 1 species